AAUCAACGCUGGCGGCGUGCCUAACACAUGCAAGUCGAACGCGAAAGCCCCGCAAGGGGUCAGUAGAGUGGCAAACGGGUGAGUAACACGUGGGUGACCUGCCUUCGAGUGGGGGAUAACGUCCCGAAAGGGACGCUAAUACCGCAUGACAUCCUGCUUUUGAAAAAGCGGAGAUCAAAGCUGGGGAUCGCAAGACCUAGCGCUUGAAGAGGGGCCCGAGCCUGAUUAGCUAGUUGGUGAGGUAACGGCUCACCAAGGCGACGAGUAGUAUGCGGCCUGCGAGGGCGGACGGACCCACUGGGACUGGGACACGGCCCAGACUCCUACGGGAGGCAGCAGUGGCGAAUUGUUCGCAAUGGGCGCAAGCCUGACGACGCAACGCCGCGUGGAGGACGAAGAUCUUCGGGUCGUAAACUCCUGUCGAGCGGGACGAACGCUUCGCGGAUGAAUAAUCCGCGGAAUUGACGGUACCGCUAAAGGAAGCCCCGGCUAACUCCGUG
rnacentral:rRNA from 1 species